rnacentral:rRNA from 1 species
CCUACGGGAGGCUGCAGUGGGGAAUAUUGGACAAUGGGGGGAACCCUGAUCCAGCCAUGCCGCGUGUGUGAAGAAGGCCCUCGGGUUGUAAAGCACUUUCAGUGAGGAAGAACGCCUGGUGGUUAAUACCCAUCAGGAAAGACAUCACUCACAGAAGAAGCACCGGCUAACUCCGUGCCAGCAGCCGCGGUAAUACGGAGGGUGCGAGCGUUAAUCGGAAUUACUGGGCGUAAAGCGCGCGUAGGUGGCUUGAUAAGCCGGUUGUGAAAGCCCCGGGCUCAACCUGGGAACGGCAUCCGGAACUGUCAAGCUAGAGUGCAGGAGAGGAAGGUAGAAUUCCCGGUGUAGCGGUGAAAUGCGUAGAGAUCGGGAGGAAUACCAGUGGCGAAGGCUGCCUUCUGGACUGACACUGACACUGAGGUGCGAAAGCGUGGGUAGCAAACAGGAUUAGAUACCCCUGUAGUC